GAAAAUUAGAGAAAGGCACGUGGAAAAAGCAUUGUAUGGGCCAGCAGAUUUGAAUUCAGGAGUGCUCACAGGAACUCACAGACCUGUGCUACAGGCCUCCGGCUAAAGAGGGCGCUGUGGGCGCCAGAGCCCUGUUUGUAAAUCCAGCAACACAGCAAGCGGGCAUGUGACGCCAUCACGACGGGAAGUGGCGCAGGCGCAGUAGCGUCGGCCGCACUCGGUGGGUAGCUGCCCAGCAAGAUCACGACCCAGCGUCUUGUUCUGGCACAGAGGACGCCAGGCUGACAUCCUUGACCCGCUUGGCAUUGGGUGGGCGGCACCUCGGCGCCCACAUGAGCCAAAUGGCAUCCUGUCCGCAGGGGCUGAGGCCGGGGACGCGACUUUUCUGGACGUCACUCAGCAAAGAGGAAGGGCGGAAACCGCAUCCCGGAAAGGUGGAAAGACUAUCUCCCAGUUGGACAGGAUGGCUGAGACUUGAUUCUUUGCUUUCAAAGUCCCUUUGCAAAAGUGUCUUGGUGACCAUCUCUGCCUGCCCUGUUCCAGAGCCAGCCUACCUCUGCUGAGGUGCAUGUUCUAGAUUUAAUUUCCCCUGCUCUGCAUGAAAGAAGACAAGUUUUGAAGUGAAACCUGCUAUAGAAGAAAACUUUUUUCUCUGAAACUUUUUAAGAAAAUUCAAGAACAAAAUGAAGAGCUUGGAUUGAUUAUUGAUUUAUUGAAUACUCAGGACUAUUAUGAGUCAGAGAGAUCUGGAAAGAGAAGUGACAAGGCAUGUCUUCCAUGUGGGCCAGGCAGAACAGUGCACCUCAUCACCUCUGACUGUCCUCCUUGCCUGAAGUACACCUCCAAUUUCUUCUACACUGGACACAUAUACAACAGGUGGAUCCUUGCUAUGUGGAUGAAAUCCUUUCUGUCGACAUGAAGAAAUCUCCUCUAGUCCACGGUUCUAAGUUGCUGAGGAUCAAUUCUCCUGUCAUAGCCUCCCAGGUUACUGGGAUUACAGGCAUGGGCCCUGCACCUGGCUCUUCUGGACUUCUCUUAGAAAAGCAACAAAACUAUUGCUUAUAUAUCUUUUUUAAAAAGCAACAUAGGUUUAUCAGAGUUUGGGGCUUUCAAGAAUCAUUUUAGAAAACAGCUGGUUAAGUCUACGAUCUAGAUAUUUUCUAAAGAACAAGUCUCAAGUAUAAAGACCUUUUGCUCUGAGACUUUCUUUGUGCCUGCCUCCCUAUAACACCCAGAACCAAGUCCUGUGUACUCACUCCUGAAACUUGGGGGAGCACACAAUAGCUAUUGACUCUGGUACCAUCAUCUGAUAGGAAAAGUAAGUGUGCAUAUCAACACUGGAGAUAAAGGUGGUCUGUGUGGGAUGAGUCUGAGAAGAGAAGAGCAGAGAACUCUUGGUGAGCAUGGACAGUCACGCCUGGUCCGUGAAGAAAGGUAUGAUCGUGUUAGGCCUUCUCAACAGCUGGUCCUAAACUCCUUUUCAAGUAAAAGCUGUUUACAACCAUGAGGAGUACACUUAAAAGUAAGGAUAUUUCUUUCCAGCAUUAUAAACGAGAAAUGAUAUACAAGUAUGUGAAGAGACCCAUAAUUUCUUUUUUGUUGUUGUUAAAAGAUUUCUUAUACAACAUGAUGACUAAUAGUUCACUUUCUUUUCUCUUCUCCUCAUUUUUGCAUUUUUUAUUAUUUCAUUUAAAACACUUUAAUUGAUAUGUAAUUGUACAUAUUUAUGGUGUACAGUGGGAUGUUUCAAUACAUAGAUAUACACAUACACAAUGUAAAACAGGGUAAUUGGCAUAUUACAUCUCAAAUGUAUAUAUUUUUUUCUAUUAGACAACAUUCUAAAUCUUAUUUUU